rnacentral:rRNA from 1 species
UCUCCGUUGGUGAACCAGCGGAGGGAUC